rfam:Aeromonas hydrophila subsp. hydrophila ATCC 7966, complete genome.
GGGGUCUGCAACAGCAGGGCAUCCCGGUUGGGGAUGUCACCACCGAUGUGAUAAGGCAGCCCGCAGUUGGCGAAGCUGACGAACUCGCCCCGCUCGAACAUCACAAUUUCCGCUUCUUCGCUCAGACGGCGGGCUCUGGCCGCCGCAGAGGCUCCACCGGCCACACCGC